CUUUUGUUCAUUUAUUGUCCUACUUUAUGACUAUAGUCUGAGCGUUGAUAUUCAUUUGUAAACGUGGUUUUGCAAUGUUGCAUGUCCACCGAUGUCCAGAAUUGUGCGAGAAAUAUAUUUUAAGAACAUACGAUGCUACUCAGUGGACACAAACAAAAUUGUCCUUUCUGCAUGGAUAAUUGAAAUUGAUAUCAAAGAAUACAAAACAGUUUGUUUUAUUGUAAAUAAAACUAGAUAGCUGACAUGGUUUGAAUUAAAGUAAGGACACAUAUUUCCCGGUGUCAAAUAUUUAGAAGGAAAAAAAACAAGGUAUUGCCAUAUAUGACCCUUUACAUCAAGUUGAAAGGUUAAACUUGCAUUAAGUCGUGUUGAGACCCUUGACAGAUAAUAAAGGAGUAUGGGGAUAUAAUCGCACACAAAGUCAAUGCAUAGAAAAAAUAGUGACAAAUGAUCAAUGAUCAAAGUUUGUGUUCCUGCUCUUCAUCUUGAUAGUUGCCGGAUGGUCUUCAACAAUACUUUUGAAGAAUCAUAAAAACCGUAAAAGAUCGUAAAACAAGGUGAAGAUGGUCCCUAUUUUGGACUUAAGCAGUACUAGUACUUAACGUAUAAUACUGCAAUGUCACUAUAUUUAAAUCUAGUCAUAAAAAAAAUCACCAAAGUCUAAUCACAAUACAAGACAAGAACAGACAGACG
rnacentral:lncRNA from 1 species